UACGUAGGGGGCAAGCGUUGUCCGGAUUUAUUGGGCGUAAAGAGCGUGUAGGCGGCCUGACAGGUCUGCUGUGAAAACUCGAGGCUCAACCUCGAGAUGUCGGCGGAAACCGUCUGGCUAGAGUCCGGAAGAGGAGAGUGGAAUUCCUGGUGUAGCGGUGAAAUGCGCAGAUAUCAGGAAGAACACCUAUGGCGAAGGCGGGUCUCUGGGCAGUAACUGACGCUGAGGAGCGAAAGCGUGGGGAGCGAACAGG
rnacentral:rRNA from 1 species